rnacentral:lncRNA from 10 species
CUCUAUUGUAAAGGAUUUUGAAAACCAACAAGAAAUUCUAAUAAUGAGAUCUUCUGAAAUAUCUGACAAAAAUUGGAAGGACAGAGAAAAUAUCAAGAAUGUGAAGACAGUGGAAUGAAGUCUGGAGGAGACGUGUUAACACCUUGCUCUAUUUUUGCUUCAGAUACUUUAUAUUUAUAGCCUACGCUCUUACAGUUGCUUCUUGCUGCUAGAAUCAAGGCCGGUGGUUUGAUGCAUUGCACUGGGGAGUUCACAUGUACUUCCUGGAAUGUGUUCUAGUUUGUUCAUGGUUAGCCAUGGUUCAGUGUGGCAGAAUACUAUACAAGAACUUGGACUUGGAGGUGAGAAUUAUUGGGGCCAU